UGCUGACAGGCAGAAGAAAAAAUGGCACCUAUCAUUUUGUAAAUUCAAUGUUUCUGUCAAAAAAUGGCUAAUUUACAAAGGCACCUUCUUCAUUCAAGCAAACACAUGUACUUUGGAAUAAUUAUGACACAGUUAGUUUUAUAUUGAAUGUAAAAAUGAAUAAAACAUUAUAAGAAGUUUAUAAACUAAGGAGAUGUUGGAGGUAUUCCUCAUGUCUUCAAAUCUAAGCCCUGAAUGCUGGCUAGAAGCUCAGAACGCAGGCUAGAAGUCAGGAGGACCUUGCGUGCAGGGAAUGCAAAUUCUCUUACCUCUGCGGGGAAGCAGCAGAGCUACAACAGUCAACAUCACCAAGAGAUUACUCUAUGCAUAUUAGAAUUAACCCAGUGAAUCCAGACAACAUGUAUGGAGGUUGCUGUGGAGACUGCAGGAGAGCGCCACAUCUUAAGGUCAGCACCAGUAGUCAGUUACCCUCUUCCUCUGCUUUCUAACCUCAGAACGUUUUACUGACACUUUCAGUGCUCUCGUCUCCUUUCCAGUGCUUUGAUUUCCCACGUCUUCUAGUCUUUGACUGCCACAGCACUACAGUUUAACAGUAAGUGGACAUGGAGUAUGGCCGUUCUUACUGUCACUAUGCUGUGUGCUCCCUGGCUGACCUUGUACACUCUCUAGUUUUCAGUUACUGUUGUGGAGUAACAAAUACUCUCUUUCUAUUCUCUUUCUUUUUUUUUUUAAUUUAUUUUUUAAAUUGUAAUUUAAAUUAAACUGUAGCUUUCAGACAUACCAGAAGAAGGGCAUUUGAUCCCAUUACAGAUGGUUGCGAACCACUAUGUGGUUGCUGGGAAUUGAACUCAGGACCUCUGGAAGAGCAGUCAGUGCUCCUAGCCACAUCUCUCCAGCCCUUCUAUUCUCUUUCCUGAGCAUCAGCUCUAUUGUCCCGGUGUUUACUGAACACAGGCAACUUGGGCUUAUAAACUUUCAGGCUCAAAAGUGAGCCAUCUUUAAUCUUGCCUUAUAGCCAAGGGGACUUAUGUUUGUCAUUAUGACACAUAGGAGAACAAUGCAGGGGGCGUGCUGUAUUCUCUGCCUUUUAUAUAGAGAAACCCUGUCUAAAAAAACCCAAAACCAAACAAACACCCCCAAAACAAAACAAAACCCAAAGUGUGCAUUUCCUCUCCCUUUCAGGGUUUCUCUGUGUAGCCCUGGCUGUCCUGAAACUCACUAUGUAGACCAGGCUGGCCUUGAACUCAGAGAUCUGCCUGCUUCUGCUUCCUAAGUGCUGGAAUCAAAGGCCUGCACCAUUACUUCUCGGCAAUUGUGCAUUCUUAAACACAUGUUUCUCAUAUGUGUAUAAUGAAUUGCUUUUAAUCUGUUCAAGACAGUAAUGUUUAAGCUAUUUAAGAGACAAUAAAUGAUGAGUCUGGCUUUAGUGCACAUGUUAAUAUUCACAAUAGCUACCAACAAUCAAACUGCUAAGUGCUAACACUAUACUAACUCCUUUAUAUUACCUCAUUCCUUAUCCUCACUGCAGUCUUGCAAAGUUUGCAAGUUCCUUUGGUGCUUCUGUAGCUAACUGCCUCAGGCCUCAACGCUAAGUAACAAACAUCACAUUUCAACUUGACUCUAAUUAAAUCCAUGCUCUCUUUAUCACACCACAUAGCAUGGAUGAGAAGAAGGGGGAGACAAGACAAUCCCAAAAAUGGAUUGGGGGCCAUUUUGUAAGCAAAGCCCCCAAAAUAGGCUACCCACUGGCUUUUUAUUUAAUGGGCAAACAGUCCUAGUUUAAGGACCCAGAAAGGAGCGAGGUCAGGAAGUAUUGCUAACAAUACUCAGUGACUUGGGAGAAGCUUUAGUGAAAGAAAGCAAGAAAGGACACUCACCUGCCCAACAGUAGCUGUAUAGCUCUGGUGUCCACCAAGGGCAGGAGGUGGUCUUCACGGUGGCCUUUACAUUGAUUCGUAGGUGAGUUCCUAGUUCCAAGGUGUGAGAAAAUACUGUCACGAAUGGCUAACAGGUAAGAAAAAUUUAAAUCCCAACCAAGCUAAGAGUAGAAGACACUAGUCUGACUUAGAAAAUUUAGCAUUUUUAGACUUAUCUGCCUUAAAUGUAUAUGAAACUUUACACUUUGCAAAUUCUUCCCAACAUCAGAAUCCUAUUUCAUUUAUGAAGGAGGGGGAGGAUCUUCAUUUUAUAUACAGGCAUUCUAGUUUAGAAGAGUGAAGAAUUUACCCAUUUACAUAUUUGGCAAAUACUGAAGCUAGGUGUUGGAUUCUGAGUACCUUUUACUAUAGGCUUGGCACAUUAAGAAUUAUUUGCUGAACAUUCCCCAGAUCAUCCCAUUCAGAACAACGAAACGGGAGGUGAGUCAACAGCUCAGGAAGUGAGCUGCAGGGGCUUGUGUGAGUCCCUAACUUACAGCACCGGUGAUCUGGAAACAUCAUCUGCCACAGGAGGAGGAACUUUGUCCAGCAGCAUACUAGUAUCUGGGCUGGUGUUCAUUGCAGAAAUCAACAUGGCAUUCCGCAGCCUACUGCCUUGUUCUAGCAGAGCUGAAGGCAGCAAACACAGAAAACACAAGUAUCUGAAGUCCAGCAGGAAGGGUGUGAUAUCCAGUACUUGUCCUCCUAGCGGUGACUCUGUUCUCCCAUGAGCCUGGCAAUUCCUUGAGGAUGUUCGUUUAACAACACUGUUUGCUUGGUUUCUGCCCUGUGUUAAGAGAUGCUACCUCAAGGAGUAAACACUGAUCUCACUGUGGGAGUGGCCAUGCUUCCAACAGCUGUCUGUACACAAUGGGGUUAAUGGUGCCUAGGAUUCAUUUUAUAACCAGAUACCUGGUUCUCUUGUAUAAGAGUUUUAAUAUUUGUAACCAGGAAAAACACUGACAACUAUGCUAGUCAAACUUGUAGAAAGCAGUCACACUUAUAACAAUCUAGUCUAAAUUUGUAUUUCAUUAAUGAGAAUGCCAAAAUGAAGCCCACGCACGACUCAGGUCUAAGUUCCCACAGCAGGGUGACGGAAGAACAGAUGGACACACGGCCUCAGCGUGUUGACAAGCAGAAGUCACCCCAGCCUGAGGUAGUAGCAGCAGCAGCACUAGCAAUGGGCACGUGUAAGCACUUACCACGUGCCAGGAUCCCCUCACUACAUUACAUGUCAUUCACUAGACCCUUGCAACAUCCCCAAGAAGACAGACAGCCUGCCCGGGCCACACAUACGACGUCUACACUGCAAGCGCCCUCUUGUCUAUGGCUUCACGUUCUGAAAUUUUAGUCAAAAACAUUAAAUGGAAACUAUAU